AACGCACCUUGCGCUCCUUGGUAUUCCGAGGAGCAUGCCUGUUUGAGUGUCAUUAAAUUCUCAACUCCUCCAGCUUUUGUUAAGUUGGCUUUGGAGCUUGGAUUGUGGAGGUUUGCUGGCCCUUCUAUUGACUGGGUUCAGCUCCUCUGAAAUACAUUAGCGGAACCGUUUGCAAUCCGCCACAGGUGUGAUAAUUAUCUACGCCAGUGGGUUGCUCUCUGUGUUCGGCUGCCAAUCGUCUCUGCUUCAAGAGACAAUUUUCUGAAUGCUUGACCUCAAAUCAGGUAGGACUACCCGCUGAACUUAA
rnacentral:misc_RNA from 1 species